rnacentral:rRNA from 1 species
AGCGUACACGGUGGAUGCCCUGGCAGUCAGAGGCGAUGAAGGACGUGCUAAUCUGCGAAAAGCGCCGGCGAGGUGAUAUGAACCUUUGACCCGGCGAUGUCCGAAUGGGGAAACCCAGUGCAAUUCGUUGCACUAUCGUUAACUGAAUACAUAGGUUAACGAGGCGAACCGGGGGAACUGAAACAUCUAAGUACCCCGAGGAAAAGAAAUCAACCGAGAUUCCCCCAGUAGCGGCGAGCGAACGGGGAGCAGCCCAGAGUCUGAAUCAGCUUGUGUGUUAGUGGAAGCGUCUGGAAAGUCGCACGGUACAGGGUGACAGUCCCGUACACGAAAGCACACAGGUUGUGAACUCGAAGAGUAGGGCGGGACACGUGGUAUCCUGUCUGAAUAUGGGGGGACCAUCCUCCAAGGCUAAAUACUCCUGACUGACCGAUAGUGAACCAGUACCGUGAGGGAAAGGCGAAAAGAACCCCGGCGAGGGGAGUGAAAAAGAACCUGAAACCGUGUACGUACAAGCAGUGGGAGCACCUUCGUGGUGUGACUGCGUACCUUUUGUAUAAUGGGUCAGCGACUUAUAUUCUGUAGCAAGGUUAACCGUAUAGGGGAGCCGAAGGGAAACCGAGUCUUAACUGGGCGUUAAGUUGCAGGGUAUAGACCCGAAACCCGGUGAUCUAGCCAUGGGCAGGUUGAAGGUUGGGUAACACUAACUGGAGGACCGAACCGACUAAUGUUGAAAAAUUAGCGGAUGACUUGUGGCUGGGGGUGAAAGGCCAAUCAAACCGGGAGAUAGCUGGUUCUCCCCGAAAGCUAUUUAGGUAGCGCCUCGUGAACUCAUCUUCGGGGGUAGAGCACUGUUUCGGCUAGGGGGCCAUCCCGGCUUACCAACCCGAUGCAAACUACGAAUACCGAAGAAUGUUAUCACGGGAGACACACGGCGGGUGCUAACGUCCGUCGUGAAGAGGGAAACAACCCAGACCGCCAGCUAAGGUCCCAAAGUCAUGGUUAAGUGGGAAACGAUGUGGGAAGGCACAGACAGCCAGGAUGUUGGCUUAGAAGCAGCCAUCAUUUAAAGAAAGCGUAAUAGCUCACUGGUCGAGUCGGCCUGCGCGGAAGAUGUAACGGGGCUAAACCAUGCACCGAAGCUGCGGCAGCGACGCUUAUGCGUUGUUGGGUAGGGGAGCGUUCUGUAAGCCGUUGAAGGUGUCCUGUGAGGGGUGCUGGAGGUAUCAGAAGUGCGAAUGCUGACAUAAGUAACGAUAAAGCGGGUGAAAAGCCCGCUCGCCGGAAGACCAAGGGUUCCUGUCCAACGUUAAUCGGGGCAGGGUGAGUCGACCCCUAAGGCGAGGCCGAAAGGCGUAGUCGAUGGGAAACAGGUUAAUAUUCCUGUACUUGGUGUUACUGCGAAGGGGGGACGGAGAAGGCUAUGUUAGCCGGGCGACGGUUGUCCCGGUUUAAGCAUGUAGGCGGAGGUUCCAGGUAAAUCCGGUACCUUUUUAACGCUGAGGUGUGAUGACGAGGCACUACGGUGCUGAAGUAACAAAUGCCCUGCUUCCAGGAAAAGCCUCUAAGCAUCAGGUAACAUCAAAUCGUACCCCAAACCGACACAGGUGGUCAGGUAGAGAAUACCAAGGCGCUUGAGAGAACUCGGGUGAAGGAACUAGGCAAAAUGGUGCCGUAACUUCGGGAGAAGGCACGCUGAUAUGUAGGUGAAGCCCCUGCGGGUGGAGCUGAAAUCAGUCGAAGAUACCAGCUGGCUGCAACUGUUUAUUAAAAACACAGCACUGUGCAAACACGAAAGUGGACGUAUACGGUGUGACGCCUGCCCGGUGCCGGAAGGUUAAUUGAUGGGGUUAGCGGCAACGCGAAGCUCUUGAUCGAAGCCCCGGUAAACGGCGGCCGUAACUAUAACGGUCCUAAGGUAGCGAAAUUCCUUGUCGGGUAAGUUCCGACCUGCACGAAUGGCGUAAUGAUGGCCAGGCUGUCUCCACCCGAGACUCAGUGAAAUUGAACUCGCUGUGAAGAUGCAGUGUACCCGCGGCAAGACGGAAAGACCCCGUGAACCUUUACUAUAGCUUGACACUGAACACUGGUCCUUGAUGUGUAGGAUAGGUGGGAGGCUUUGAAGCGUGGACGCCAGUCUGCGUGGAGCCAACCUUGAAAUACCACCCUUUAAUGGCUGGUGUUCUAACGUAGACCCGUGAUCCGGGUUGCGGACAGUGUCUGGUGGGUAGUUUGACUGGGGCGGUCUCCUCCCAAAGAGUAACGGAGGAGCACGAAGGUUAGCUAAUCCUGGUCGGACAUCAGGAGGUUAGUGCAAUGGCAUAAGCUAGCUUGACUGCGAGAGUGACGGCUCGAGCAGGUGCGAAAGCAGGUCAUAGUGAUCCGGUGGUUCUGAAUGGAAGGGCCAUCGCUCAACGGAUAAAAGGUACUCCGGGGAUAACAGGCUGAUACCGCCCAAGAGUUCAUAUCGACGGCGGUGUUUGGCACCUCGAUGUCGGCUCAUCACAUCCUGGGGCUGAAGUAGGUCCCAAGGGUAUGGCUGUUCGCCAUUUAAAGUGGUACGCGAGCUGGGUUUAGAACGUCGUGAGACAGUUCGGUCCCUAUCUGCCGUGGGCGCUGGAGAAUUGAGGGGGGCUGCUCCUAGUACGAGAGGACCGGAGUGGACGCAUCACUGGUGUUCGGGUUGUCAUGCCAAUGGCACUGCCCGGUAGCUAAAUGCGGAAAAGAUAAGUGCUGAAAGCAUCUAAGCACGAAACUUGCCCCGAGAUGAGUUCU